rnacentral:rRNA from 1 species
CAGGGUAACCUGCCUAAAGACCCCUUGUAGACUACAAGGUUGAUAGGCCCGAUGUGCAAGAGCAGCAAUGCUCUCAGCUUACGGGUACUAAUCGGUCGUGAGGCUUGACCAU